GAUGAACGCUGGCGGCGUGCUUAAUACAUGCAAGUCGAGCGAACAGACGCGUUGCUUGCUACUCUGACGUUAACGGCGGAAGGAUGAGUAACAUGUGGAUCACUUACCUAUAAGACUGGGAUAACUUACGGAAACCGGUGCCAAUACCGGAUCAUAUCUUCAACCGCAUGGUUCAAUAGUGUAAGACGGUUUUGCUGUACUUUCUGCAUGGAUCCGAGGCGCAUUAGCUAGUUGGUAAGGUAACGGCUUACCAAGGCAGCGAUGGGUAGCCGACCUGCGAGGGGGAUCGGCCACGCUGGAACUGAGAGGCGGCCCAGGGACCGAGGUGAGGCAGCAGUAGGGAAUGUUCCGCGAUGGGCGGAAGCUUGACGGAGCAGCGCCGCGUGGGUGAUGAAGGGCUGCGGGUCGGAAGACGCUGUUAGGAGUGAAGAACAAAUUUGGAAGGAACGAUGCACGUCUUGACGGUACCUGAACAGAAAGCCACGGCUAACUACGUG
rnacentral:rRNA from 1 species